rnacentral:tRNA from 2 species
UCCUGGUUAGCUCAGUUGGGAGAGCGCUUCACUGGAAAUGGAGAAGUUCCUGGUUCGAUACCAAGACCAGGCG